rnacentral:rRNA from 1 species
AACGAACGCUGGCGGCAGGCCUCAAACAUGCAAGUCUAGGGGGUGUAGCAAUACAUCACCGGCGGACGGGUGCGUAACGCGUGGGAAUAUACCUAUUGGUUCGGAACAACUGAGGGAAACUUCAGCUAAUACCGGAUGAGCCCUAACGGGGAAAGAUUUCUCGCCAAUAGAUUAGCCCGCGUCCGAUUAGCUAGUUGGUGGGGUAAAAGCCUACCAAGGCGACGAUCGGUAGCUGUUCUGAGAGGAAGAUCAGCCACACUGGGACUGAGACACGGCCCAGACUCCUACGGGAGGCAGCAGUUGGGAAUCUUGGACAAUGGGGGAAACCCUGAUCCAGCCAUGCCGCGUGAGUGAUGAAGGCCUUCGGGUUGUAAACUCUUUCGACGGGGACGAUAAUGACGGUCCCGUAGAAGAAGCUCCGGCUAACUUCGUGCCAGCAGCCGCGGUAAU